rnacentral:lncRNA from 1 species
GGGCUGGGCUUUUCAUUGACCAUGGGUUGGAAUAGUUCUGUGGGCAUAGUGUGUCUUCGAAGCCACUAUGUUUUCUGCACUUGUGACUAGAGAGCACCUUGAUAGCUCAGUUGGUAGAGCGGUGGACUGUAAGAUGCUCCUUGUGUGAAACGCUGUGAUCCGAAGGUGGCUGGUUCAACUCCAGCCGGAAGCACCUCCUUGUCAUUGGAAAUACCCCCAAGCCUUGUCUUUAUCUGUCAACUCUUCCAAAAUGUAAAAACACAAACAAGAUAACUCUUUCUUAAAUUUUCAACCAUCAAUUUUUUAAUCACCCAGCCUAAAAGUCCUGAUUAUCAGUUCUGGGUCCCUGGCAAUGACUGUUGGGUACAAACUGCAAAGCUUUGUUCAUCAGGUAGGGCUGGGCUUUUCAUUGACCAUGGGUUGGAAUAGUUCUGUGGGCAUAGUGUGUCUUCGAAGCCACUAUGUUUUCUGCACUUGUGACUACAGAGCACCUUGAUAGCUCAGUUGGUAGAGCGGUGCACUGUAAGAUGCUCCUUGUGUGAAACGCUGUGAUCCUAAGGUCGCUGGUUCAACUCCAGCCGGAAGCACCUCCUCGUCAUUGGAAAUACCCCAAAACCUUGUCUUUAUCUGUCAACUCCUCCAAAAUGUAAAAACACAAACAAGAUAACUCUUUCUUAAAUUUUCAACCAUCAAUUUUUUAUUCACCCAGCCUAAAAGUCCUGAUUAUCAGUUCUGGGUCCCUGGCAAUGACUGUUGGGUACAAACUGCAAAGCUUUGUUCGUCAGGUAGGGCUGGGCUUUUCAUUGACCAUGGGUUGGAAUAGUUCUGUGGGCAUAGUGUGUCUUCGAAGCCACUAUGUUUUCUGCACUUGUGACUCGAGAGCACCUUGAUAGCUCAGUUGGUAGAGCGGUGGACUGUAACAUGCUCCUUGUGUGAAACGCUGUGAUCCUAAGGUGGCUGGUUCAACUCCAGCCGGAAGCACCUCCUUGUCAUUGGAAAUACCCCAAAACCUUGUCUUUAUCUGUCAACUCCUCCAAAAUGUAAAAACACAAACAAGAUAACUCUUUCUUAAAUUUUCAACCAUCAAUUUUUUAUUCACCCAGCCUAAAAGUCCUGAUUAUCAGUUCUGGGUCCCUGGCAAUGACUGUUGGGUACAAACUGCAAAGCUUUGUUCGUCAGGUAGGGCUGGGCUUUUCAUUGACCAUGGGUUGGAAUAGUUCUGUGGGCAUAGUGUGUCUUCGAAGCCACUAUGUUUUCUGCACUUGUGACUAGAGAGCCCCUUGAUAGCUCAGUUGGUAGACCGGUGGACUGUAAGAUGCUCCUUGUGUGAAACGCUGUGAUCCUAAGGUCGCUCGUUCAACUCCAGCCGGAAACACCUCCUCGUCAUUGGAAAUACCCCCAAGCCUUGUCUUUAUCUGUCAACUCCUCCAAAAUGUAAAAACACAAACAAGAUAACUCGUUCUUAAAUUUUCAACCAUCAAUUUUUUAUUCACCCAGCCUAAAAGUCCUGAUUAUCAGUUCUGGGUCCCUGGCAAUGACUGUUGGGUACAAACUGCAAAGCUUUGUUCUGCAGGUAGGGCUGGGCUUUUCAUUGACCAUGGGUUGGAAUAGUUCUGUGGGCAUAGUGUGUCUUCGAAGCCACUAUGUUUUCUGCACUUGAGACUAGAGAGCCCCUUGAUAGCUCAGUUGGUAGAGCGGUCGACUGUAAGAUGCUCCUUGUGUGAAACGCUGUGAUCCUAAGGUCGCUGGUUCAACUCCAGCCGGAAGCACCUCCUUGUCAUUGGAAAUACCCCAAAGCCUUGUCUUUAUCUGUGAACUCCUCCAAAAUGUAAAAACACAAACAAGAUAACUCGUUCUUAAAUUUUCAACCAUCAAUUUUUUAUUCACCCAGCCUAAAAGUCCUGAUUAUCAGUUCUGGGUCCCUGGCAAUGACUGUUGGGUACAAACUGCAAAGCUUUGUUCGUCAGGUAGGGCUGGGCUUUUCAUUGACCAUGGGUUGGAAUAGUUCUGUGGGCAUAGUGUGUCUUCGAAGCCACUAUGUUUUCUGCACUUGUGACUAGAGAGCACCUUGAUAGCUCAGUUGGUAGAGCGGUGGACUGUAAGAUGCUCCUUGUGUGAAACGCUGUGAUCCUAAGGUCGCUGGUUCAACUCCAGCCGGAAGCACCUCCUCGUCAUUGGAAAUACCCCAAAACCUUGUCUUUAUCUGUCAACUCCUCCAAAAUGUAAAAACACAAACAAGAUAACUCUUUCUUAAAUUUUCAACCAUCAAUUUUUUAUUCACCCAGCCUAAAAGUCCUGAUUAUCAGUUCUGGGUCCCUGGCAAUGACUGUUGGGUACAAACUGCAAAGCUUUGUUCGUCAGGUAGGGCUGGGCUUUUCAUUGACCAUGGGUUGGAAUAGUUCUGUGGGCAUAGUGUGUCUUCGAAGCCACUAUGUUUUCUGCACUUGUGACUAGAGAGCACCUUGAUAGCUCAGUUGGUAGAGCGGUGGACUGUAACAUGCUCCUUGUGUGAAACGCUGUGAUCCUAAGGUCGCUGGUUCAACUCCAGCCGGAAGCACCUCCUCGUCAUUGGAAAUACCCCAAAACCUUGUCUUUAUCUCUCAACUCCUCCAAAAUGUAAAAACACAAACAAGAUAACUCUUUCUUAAAUUUUCAACCAUCAAUUUUUUAUUCACCCAGCCUAAAAGUCCUGAUUAUCAGUUCUGGGUCCCUGGCAAUGACUGUUGGGUACAAACUGCAAAGCUUUGUUCGUCAGGUAGGGCUGGGCUUUUCAUUGACCAUGGGUUGGAAUAGUUCUGUGGGCAUAGUGUGUCUUCGAAGCCACUAUGUUUUCUGCACUAGGGACAAGAGAGCCCCUUGAUAGCUCAGUUGGUAGAGCGGUGGACUGUAAGAUGCUCCUUGUGUGAAACGCUGUGAUCCUAAGGUGGCUGGUUCAACUCCGGCCGGAAGCACCUCCUUGUCAUUGGAAAUACCCCCAAGCCUUGUCUUUAUCUGUCAACUCCUCCAAAAUGUAAAAACACAAACAAGAUAACUCUUUCUUAAAUUUUCAACCAUCAAUUUUUUAUUCACCCAGCCUAAAAGUCCUGAUUAUCAGUUCUGGGUCCCUGGCAAUGACUGUUGGGUACAAACUGCAAAGCUUUGUUCGUCAGGUAGGGCUGGGCUUUUCAUUGACCAUGGGUUGGAAUAGUUCUGUGGGCAUAGUGUGUCUUCGAAGCCACUAUGUUUUCUGCACUUGUGACUAGAGAGCACCUUGAUAGCUCAGUUGGUAGAGCGGUCGACUGUAAGAUGCUCCUUGUGUGAAACGCUGUGAUCCUAAGGUCGCUGGUUCAACUCCAGCCUGAAGCACCUCCUUGUCAUUGG